rnacentral:rRNA from 1 species
UGGGGAAUUUUGGACAAUGGGCGAAAGCCUGAUCCAGCAAUGCCGCGUGUGUGAAGAAGGCCUUCGGGUUGUAAAGCACUUUUGUCCGGAAAGAAAUCCUUGGCUCUAAUACAGUCGGGGGAUGACGGUACCGGAAGAAUAAGCACCGGCUAACUACGUGCCAGCAGCCGCGGUAAUACGUAGGGUGCAAGCGUUAAUCGGAAUUACUGGGCGUAAAGCGUGCGCAGGCGGUUUGCUAGACCGAUGUGAAAUCCCCGGGCUCAACCUGGGAACUGCAUUGGUGACUGGCAGGCUAGAGUAUGGCAGAGGGGGGUAGAAUUCCACGUGUAGCAGUGAAAUGCGUAGAGAUGUGGAGGAAUACCGAUGGCGAAGGCAGCCCCCUGGGCCAAUACUGACGCUCAUGCACGAAAAGCGUGGGGAGCAAAACAGGAUUAGAUACCCUGGUAGUCCACGCCCUAAACGAUGUCAACUAGUUGUUGGGGAUUCAUUUCCUUAGUAACGUAGCUAACGCGUGAAGUUGACCGCCUGGGGAGUACGGUCGCAAGAUU